rnacentral:rRNA from 1 species
AGAACGAACGCUGGCGGCAUGCCUAACACAUGCAAGUCGAACGAACCCUUCGGGGUUAGUGGCGCACGGGUGCGUAACGCGUGGGAAUCUGCCCUUUGCUUCGGAAUAACAGUUAGAAAUGGCUGCUAAUACCGGAUGAUGUCGCAAGACCAAAGAUUUAUCGGCAAAGGAUGAGCCCGCGUAGGAUUAGCUUGUUGGUGAGGUAAAAGCUCACCAAGGCGACGAUCCUUAGCUGGUCUGAGAGGAUGAUCAGCCACACUGGGACUGAGACACGGCCCAGACUCCUACGGGAGGCAGCAGUGGGGAAUAUUGGACAAUGGGCGAAAGCCUGAUCCAGCAAUGCCGCGUGAGUGAUGAAGGCCUUAGGGUUGUAAAGCUCUUUACCCGGGAUGAUAAUGACAGUACCGGGAGAAGUAGCUCCGGCUAACUCCGUGCCAGCAGCCGC